rnacentral:rRNA from 1 species
CAAGUCGAGCGGAAACGAUCCUAGCUUGCUAGGAGGCGUCGAGCGGCGGACGGGUGAGUAAUGCAUAGGAAUCUACCCGGUAGUGGGGGAUAACCUGGGGAAACCCAGGCUAAUACCGCAUACGUCCUACGGGAGAAAGCAGGGGAUCUUCGGACCUUGCGCUAUCGGAUGAGCCUAUGUCGGAUUAGCUAGUUGGUGAGGUAACGGCUCACCAAGGCUGCGAUCCGUAGCUGGUCUGAGAGGAUGAUCAGCCACAUCGGGACUGAGACACGGCCCGAACUCCUACGGGAGGCAGCAGUGGGGAAUAUUGGACAAUGGGCGAAAGCCUGAUCCAGCCAUGCCGCGUGUGUGAAGAAGGCCUUCGGGUUGUAAAGCACUUUCAGUGAGGAAGAAAGCCUUGAGGCUAAUACCCUCGAGGGAGGACAUCACUCACAGAAGAAGCACCGGCUAACUCCGUGCCAGCAGCCGCGGUAAUACGGAGGGUGCGAGCGUUAAUCGGAAUUACUGGGCGUAAAGCGCGCGUAGGCGGCUUGAUAAGCCGGUUGUGAAAGCCCCGGGCUCAACCUGGGAACGGCAUCCGGAACUGUCAGGCUAGAGUGCAGGAGAGGAAGGUAGAAUUCCCGGUGUAGCGGUGAAAUGCGUAGAGAUCGGGAGGAAUACCAGUGGCGAAGGCGGCCUUCUGGACUGACACUGACGCUGAGGUGCGAAAGCGUGGGUAGCAAACAGGAUUAGAUACCCUGGUAGUCCACGCCGUAAACGAUGUCGACUAGCCGUUGGGCUCCUUGAGAGCUUUGUGGCGCAGUUAACGCGAUAAGUCGACCGCCUGGGGAGUACGGCCGCAAGGUUAAAACUCAAAUGAAUUGACGGGGGCCCGCACAAGCGGUGGAGCAUGUGGUUUAAUUCGAUGCAACGCGAAG